rnacentral:sRNA from 18 species
GUCAGCACCCCCGGCUGAAGCACGGGGGCUUCGUGCCUCCAGCUUCAGGUAGCUGACCAGCCUAAGUCUUAACUGACUACGUUUUUAAGGUCAUGGCACCUACAAAUGCUUUCCAGUUUGUAGCCCUGCC